UACGAAGGGGGCGAGCGUUGUUCGGAUUUACUGGGCGUAAAGGGCGCGCAGGCGGUUCUGUUUGUCGAGUGUGAAAGCCCCGGGCUCAACCUGGGAACUGCGCUCGAAACGGCGGAACUAGAGUUCGGGAGAGGAGAGUGGAAUUCCCAGUGUAGAGGUGAAAUUCGUAGAUAUUGGGAAGAACACCGGUGGCGAAGGGCGGGCUA
rnacentral:rRNA from 1 species